CAUACAGACCUCAGGCACCAUGACCACCUCAAAUCUCUUGUAGCAUUUUCGGUGUACAUCCGAAAAUGCUACAAGAGAUUUGAGGUGGUCAUGGUGCCUGAGGUCUGUAUG